rnacentral:rRNA from 1 species
AUUGAACGCUGGCGGCAGGCCUAACACAUGCAAGUCGAGCGGAUGAAGGGAGCUUGCUCCUGGAUUCAGCGGCGGACGGGUGAGUAAUGCCUAGGAAUCUGCCUGGUAGUGGGGGAUAACGUCCGGAAACGGGCGCUAAUACCGCAUACGUCCUGAGGGGGAAAGUGGGGGAUCUUCGGACCUCACGCUAUCAGAUGAGCCUAGGUCGGAUUAGCUAGUUGGUGGGGUAAAGGCCUACCAAGGCGACGAUCCGUAACUGGUCUGAGAGGAUGAUCAGUCACACUGGAACUGAGACACGGUCCAGACUCCUACGGGAGGCAGCAGUGGGGAAUAUUGGACAAUGGGCGAAAGCCUGAUCCAGCCAUGCCGCGUGUGUGAAGAAGGUCUUCGGAUUGUAAAGCACUUUAAGUUGGGAGGAAGGGCAGUAAGUUAAUACCUUGCUGUUUUGACGGUACCAACAGAAUAAGCACCGGCUAACUUCGUG